CAGGGAGGAUCAGCAAGGAGGAGAAAGGAGGAAGGGAGUGUCCAGAGACCAUUUAAGGAACAAGCUGGGGAGACGUUUCAGCAUUUUCCUGGCAAUGAGUGACACUCAGGAGUUUCUGUUCCUAGAUUCUGCACUGCUGAAGCAGGCAGUGGAUAUGAAGAAAAUGAAGAAUUUGAAGAAAAAAGUGGAGUGGAAGGUGAUAGAAAUUAUGGAAAGGGGGGCAUGGAGACGGAGGUUGGGGGCAGAAUGCAGGACAGACGUACAGGAUUAGGGAGCUGACAUUGCUUCCCCUUCCCCUACCUUGACCACUCUGGUCCCACAGGAGGAGAACCAGAAGCAGAAGCUCAUGGAAAAGUCAAAAGAUCCAGAGCAGCCAGAUGUCAAGGACUGAGCCUUGCUGCAGCAGUGCCUGGGACCUGGCUGUGUGCAUCCCACCCAGCCAGGCUCCAAGUACUGCUCGGACGAAUGUGGCAUGAAGCUGGCAGCUGAUUGAGUACACCUGGAGGUUAAGCAACAGGGCGUGGAAUAGGGCAUGAUCUAUGCCAUCUGUAAGUCCAUCCACCCUCCUACUUAUGUAUCCUGGCACAAUUUGUCCACUUACUUGCCUAUACAUCCACCCUUACAUACACCCACCCAUCCACAUUCCACCCACCAACCCACACAAUUACCCUUACAGUCACCCAUCCAACUAGCUACCCAUCCACCCAACCAUCCACCACCCACUCACCCAUUCAACAACAUUCACUCCUCUGCCAUUCAUUAUCUUAAACAUUCACUAUUAAGCCACUCAUCUGUUUCUUCUUUUGAUGUUCCAAAAUACCCAUUCCAUUUCUUGCUGACUCUCCUUCCAGCCACAUCCAUGAGAUCCUGCCCCAGCGCUUUCAGCAGUGGCAGAAGAGUCCCUGCAUUGCUGAGGAGAACGGCAAGAAAAUGCUUGAGUGCAUCCACCAUGAACAGCAGGACACUCAUGCCCCUUGAAGGACAUGGAAUGCUGUUUCCAUGAACUUGAGGCCAUCAUUCUGUGUGACAAGUAGCAGGCUGUGUACCAAGAUAAAGAGAUGCUGGGGCCGUGCUCCCUCCCUGAUUAUUUACUUGGCCUGAUGUGGCCCAGUCCUGGAGUCUGCAGUCUGUAUGAACAACAAACAUGGUGGAAACAACGUCGACCUGCAGAUCUUCUGUGUCUCCUGUGGGAAACCCAUCAAUGUGCAUACUGCCCUGUGCCACAUGGAGUGCUGCUUCGCCAAGGUUAGAGCUUUGACUGGGGGCA